UCUCAGAUCAGAGAAACAGGUAAGGAUGCAGCCAGCCUUGUGGGUCUCUGGGAGAGGAACAUUAACAGCUGAACAGGGUCCUUCAAUCAAGGUACAACAGAGAGAACUGGGGGCCCGUCUUCUUGUGCUGCCCAGCUACACCUGCAACCAAAGACAAGUUUCUUAAUUUCUCUGCUUUGGUUUACCAUUGCUAAAAAAGCACAGCAAUAGUUUCCUAAGUCCUCAAAGCUGGUGAUUUGUAAGAUGUAACUGGUUAAAAUCAGAAGGUUCAGAAGUUGCAUUGAUGACAACUUUUGAAAUGCAUACAAAAAAAAAUGAGCUAAAGUAAGUGCAGGCUAAGCACCAAGGAGUGAGAAAUAGAUUGAAAACCCCACCUGAAAAGAUAAGUGUUCUUUUAGUAAUUACCUCUCCCUUUCUUGAGGAUGUGUGAAGAUUCUGAUUUACAGGGUUUUUUAAAAAAUAUUAAAUGAAAAACAUGCUUCUUUUUUGUCCAUGCUCCGCUUCUUAUCUCCAAAAAAUCAGUUAACUGCACUUGGGAGGGGCAGAGUUUUAUGAGAUGGUACAAAUUUCCUGGUAUAAUUUUAUUAUCGUUAAGAUUCAGAGGAGUGGCGACAGCUCUCACAAACAGGAGAUUCAGGGUCAUCUUUUCUCCAAUCCAGAGACAACAGAAUAGGGUCAGAACCGAAGGCGGAAAGCAAUCUGGCCAAAGGCAGCCAGAGGAGUGUGCAAGGGGAAAAAAACAGCCAAUAUAUGCAGUGGACAGUCUCCAUUUCUCUUCUGCUGUUCGUGCUCAGCACUCACAAGAUUCAUCCCUUGGAGAUACACCCUGCUGUCUCCCUCGUCCAGCUUUUCCUUUUUGGCUCUUUCCUACCAAUGAAAAAAUCUAGUGGCUGUCUCUGAUACGACUCCUAAUUUCUUCAGCAACAGCAUGCAAGAACAGAUCCCUGACAGCUCCUCUUACUCCACAAUGUUUUGCACCUCAGAAGAAAAUCCGGCUUGGACUCUGACCCAUCUGAGUUAAUGACUCUUGGAAAACGUUAAGACUGAGUCCUUAAUGAAUGCCAUUCUAUACCAGGCUCCCUUUCUUCUUUUUCUGGAAGUACAUUACAAAGCUCAGGGAUAGUGUGUGUUUACGCAAUAUUAAGAAUGUGAGUAAGUUUUACUUUUACUCUGCCAAAUCUGUCAAGAAUUAACAAAGUUUUGCCACUAUGGCUGAUUGCUUGUCCUAAUUUGAAAGCUUUGAAUCUAAAGCUAAUUUUAUUUGUUGGUCCCUCUGGUCUCAUAUUUACUCCCCUUUAACGAGGGAGGCAUGAAACCUGACUCCCCUUCCAGGACAAUUUGACGCGGGAAGUGUAAGAGGAUAAAGUAUUUGAGAAAAGCACCCCAGGAGCAUUGGGUUGCCCAGAACGAGGGAAUGUUGGG
rnacentral:lncRNA from 1 species